CUGCAUACGAAUUCCCAGACAAUCCGAUGGGCACUGCAACCACUGCAGGGACACUGCAGUGAGCUGAUGUGGCACUGCAGGUGCACUGCAAUGACUGCAGGAUCACUGAAUCCUCCUUCAUGAUCACUCAAACCUCCAUAACAACAUAAGGCAUCCACUUUGUGGAACACUGCAUCCACUGCAUAGGCACUGCAUCCACAUUCAGGGAACCUGAGGGGGCACUGCAACAAGUGCAGGAUCACAGCAUCAACCUUCAUCGGCACUGCAUCCUCCAUCACAACAUACAUCAUCACUGCAUGAGCACUGAAUCCACAUUCAGGGACACUGCAUCCAGAUGAAUUGACACUGCAGGUGCACUGCAAUGAAUGCAGGAUCAUUGCAUUCUCCUUCAUGGGUACUGCAUCCUACUUCACAACAUACUGCAUCCAACGUGGGUCACACUGCAGAUGAAGCAUGGGCCCUGCGUCCACUUUAAGAGACACUGCAUUGGGCUCUGCAACCACGGCAGCAACACUUCAUUCAGCUGAAGUGGCACUGCAAGUGCACUGCAAUCACUGAAUAUUCAGUGCAUCCACUGCUUGUUCACUGCAUCCACAUUCAGGGACACUGCAGUGUGCACAGAAACCAUGGCAGGAUCACUGCAUCUACCUUCAUGGGCACUGCAUCAUCCAUCACAACAUACUUAAUCACUGCAUGAGCACUGCAUCCAAAUUCAGGGACAGUGCACGUUGCACUGCAGUGACUGCAGGGACACUGCAUCCAGCUGAAGUGGCACUGCAUGCGCACUGCUACCACUGGAGGAUCACUGCAUCCUCCUUCAUGGGUAAUGCAUCAUCCAUCAUAACAUAGUGGAUCCACCUUGUGGGGUACUGAAUCCACUGCAAGGGCACAACAUUCUCAUUCAGUGACCCUGCCGGGGGCACUGCAACCACUGCAGGAUCACUGCAUCCACCUUCAUGGGCACUGCAUCCUCUGUCACAACAUAAUGCAUCCAACUUGUGUGACACUGCAUACACUGCCUGGGCACUGCAUCCGCAUUCCCGGACAAUGGAGACAGCACUGCAACCACUGCAGGGACACUGUAUGCAGCUGAAGUGGCACUGCAGGUACACCACAAUCACUGUUCACUUCAUCCACUUCAUGUUCACUGCAUCUUCA
rnacentral:lncRNA from 1 species